GUGCUCACUUCGGCAGCACAUACACUAAAAUUGGAACGAUACAGAGAUCAGCAAGGCCCCCACACAAGGAUGACAUGCAAAUUCAUGAAGCGUUCCAUAUUUUU
rnacentral:snRNA from 1 species